GGGGAUUUAGCUCAGUGGUAGAGUGCUUGCCUAGCAAGCGCAAGGCCCUGGGUUCGGUCCCCAGCUCCA
rfam:Rattus norvegicus chromosome 3, whole genome shotgun sequence.